UAUUCCACGUUUUCAGAGUUUUCCGGUUAUGUUUUUGUAAAAGUCAAAGUCAUGCUCUCAGUGCCACAAAGUUUCAUAAGUUCUCGUAUUUUUUGGUUUAGUGUGGUGGCACUGAGACAUUUAUCUUCAUUUUGUGAUGUCCGGCGGACAGAGCCUUCGUGAUGAAUGUCGCCGGCACCGUCUUUUAUUUCUGUUCGUGUCCGACGUAGUGUGAAUACUUGUUGUCACUUUGUUCCUGUUUGCAGCCAUUAUUGUUAUACCACGUUUUUUAUGUCUUAUCGGUUUUGUUGUGGAUCAGUCGGUGUUCAAUUUUUUAUCAUUGACUGCACUAUCUAUUGCUUAAACGUGGUAUAUUGUCUUGUAUGGUCUAGUUGCAGCAGCUGUGUUUGAAUCAUUUUUCGUGGUGUAGGUUAACGAUUCCGGUAUUGCAGCAUAUCAUAGCUGUACAAGGUAGGUGGUGCACCACCAUUUUGUCUUGUACGAAGACCGACGGGUCUAUUGGCUAACAGGUAAUUUGAUUUAUUGAUUUAUUUACUUAUUUUAUAUUAGUGUGCGCCGUGUGGGCCACACAUUGUUAUUACAUUAUUAUAUUUUGGUUGUGCCGCUGUAGGGCCAUCCAGCAGAUUUUUCUACCAGAUAAGAACUUUUAACCCUUUCCAACCCUUUCAAACGUACACCAUGAAAUAUUUAAGAAAAAAAUUUUUUUUUAAGAAAAUUGUUAUUUUAGGGUCAA